AAAGUGAAGAAAUUCAGUGAAGUGCGGGUAAAUGGAGGGAGUAAGUAUGACUCUCUUAAGGCAGCCAAAUGCCUCGUCAUCUAAUUAGCGACCUGCAUGAAUGGAUGAACAAGAUUCCCACUGUCCCUACCUACUGUCCAGCAAAACCACAGCCAAGAGAACGGGCUUGGGGAAAUCAUCAGGGAAAGAAGACGAUGUUGAGCUUGACUCUAGUCUGGCAUGGUGAGGAGACAUGAGAGGUGUAGAAUAAGUGGGGGGCCCCC
rnacentral:rRNA from 1 species